UCUUCAUCUCACGUGCUCUCUCACCGGUCAUAGAGGUGAGAGAGCGUGCGGAAUGAAGAGA
rnacentral:pre_miRNA from 1 species